GACGAACGCUGGCGGCGUGCCUAAUACAUGCAAGUCGAACGCUUCUUUCCUCCCGAUUGCUUGCACUCAAUUGGAAAGAGGAGUGGCGGACGGGUGAGUAACACGUCGGUAACCUACCCAUCAGCGGGGGAUAACACUUGGAAACAGGUGCUAAUACCGCAUAACAGUUUAUGCCGCAUUGCAUAAGAGUGAAAGGCGCUUUCGGGUGUCGCUGAUGGAUGGACUCGCGGUGCAUUAGCUAGUUGGUGAGGUAACGGCUCACCAAGGCCACGAUGCAUAGCCGACCUGAGAGGGUGAUCGGCCACACUGGGACUGAGACACGGCCCAGACUCCUACGGGAGGCAGCAGUAGGGAAUCUUCGGCAAUGGACGAAAGUCUGACGGAGCAACGCCGCGUGAGUGAAGAAGGUUUUCGGAUCGUAAAACUCUGUUGUUAGGGAAGAACAAGGACGUUAGUAACUGAACGUCCCCUGACGGUAUCUAACCAGAAAGCCACGGCUAACUACGUG
rnacentral:rRNA from 1 species